rnacentral:rRNA from 1 species
AUGCGUUUUGUGCGGCGCAUCCAGGAGUCUGAGGUGAAGGAGGCUUUAAAAAGGAUGAAAGGAGGCAAGGCGAUGGGCCCUGAUUGUAUCCCCAUUGAGGUGUGGAAAGGUCUCGGGGACAUAGCGAUAGUAUGGCUAACCAAGCUUUUCAACCUCAUUUUUCGGGCAAACAAGAUGCCAGAAGAAUGGAGACGGAGUAUAUUAGUACCAAUCUUCAAGAACAAGGGAGAUGUUCAGAGUUGUACUAAUUACCGUGGAAUUAAGCUGAUGAGCCAUACAAUGAAGCUAUGGGAGAGAGUCAUUGAGCACCGCUUAAGAAGAAUGACAAGCGUGACCAAAAAUCAGUUUGGUUUCAUGCCUGGGAGGUCGACCAUGGAAGCCAUUUUGUUGGUACGACAACUUAUGGAGAGAUAUAGGGAGCAUAAGAAGGUCUUGCAUAUGGUGUUCAUUGACUUGGAGAAGGCCUAUGAUAAGAUACCGCGGAAUGUCAUGUGGUGGGCCUUGGAGAAACACAAAGUCCCAGCAAAGUACAUUACCCUCAUCAAGGACAUGUACAAUAAUGUUGUGACAAGUGUUCGAACAAGUGAUGUCGACACCGAUGACUUCCCGAUUAAGAUAGGACUGCAUCAGGGGUCAGCUUUGAGCCCUUAUCUUUUUGCAUUGGUGAUGGAUGAGGUCACAAGGGGUAUACAAGGAGAUAUCCCAUGGUGUAUGCUCUUUGCGGAUGAUGUGGUGCUAGUUGACGAUAGUCGGACGGGGGUAAAUAGGAAGUUAGAGUUAUGGAGACAAACCUUGGAAUCGAAAAGGUUUAGGCUUAGUAGAACUAAAACCGAGUACAUGAUGUGCGGUUUCAGUACUACUAGCUGUGAGGAGGAGGAGGUUAGCCUUGAUGGCCAGGUGGUACCUCGGAAGGACACCUUUCGGUAUUUGGGGUCAAUGUUGCAGGGGGAUGGGGGUAUUGAUGAAGAUGUGAACCAUCGAAUCAAAGCCGGAUGGAUGAAGUGGCGCCAAGCUUCUGGCAUUCUCUGUGACAAGAGAGUGCCACAAAAGCUAAAAGGCAAGUUCUACAGGACGGCGGUUCGACCCGCAAUGUUGUAUGGCGCGGAGUGUUGGCCGACUAAAAGGCGACAUGUUCAACAGUUAGGUGUGGCGGAGAUGCGUAUGUUGAGAUGGAUGUGUGGCCACACGAGGAAGGAUCGAGUCCGGAAUGAUGAUAUACGAGAUAGAGUUGGGGUAGCACCAAUUGAGGAGAAGCUUGUCCAACAUCGUUUGAGAUGGUUUGGGCAUAUUCAGCGCAGGCCUCCAGAAGCUCCAGUGCAUAGCGGACGGCUAAAGCGUGCGGAGAAUGUCAAGAGAGGGCGGGGUCGACCGAUUUUGACAUGGGAGGAGUCCGUUAAGAGAGACCUGAAGGAUUGGAGUAUCGACAAAGAGCUAGCUAUGGACAGGGGCGCGUGGAAGCUUGCUAUCCAUGUGCCAGAGCCAUGA